rnacentral:rRNA from 1 species
GGACUACUCGGGUAUCUAAUCCUGUUCGCUCCCCAUGCUUUCGCUUCUCAGCGUCAGUAGUGGCCCAGAGACCUGCCUUCGCCAUCGGUGUUCCUCCUGAUAUCUGCGCAUUUCACCGCUACACCAGGAAUUCCAGUCUCCCCUACCACACUCUAGUCUGCCCGUACCCACCGCAAGUUCGAGGUUGAGCCUCGAAUUUUCACGGCAGACGCGACAAACCGCCUACAAGCUCUUUACGCCCAAUAAUUCCGGACAACGCUCGCACCCUACGUAUUACCGCGGCUGCUGGCAC